rnacentral:rRNA from 1 species
GAAAGUAAGAAAGGGCGUAUGGCGGAUGCCUAGGCUCACGGAGGCGAUGAAGGACGUGAUAAGCUGCGAUAAGCUUCGGGUAGGUGCAAAUAACCCUUGAUCCGGAGAUUUCCGAAUGGGACAACCUAGCCGUCUGAAGGACGGUUACUAGCACUUAAGUGUUAGAGCUAACGCAGGGAACUGAAACAUCUUAGUACCUGUAGGAAGAGAAAAUAAAUGAAUGAUUCCCCCAGUAGUGGCGAGCGAACGGGGAACAGCCCAAACCGUUGACGUCGCAAGGCGCCAGCGGGGUUGUAGGACCGCGACAUUGUAUGCAAAUCGUGAACAGAACACUUUGGAAAAUGUGACCAUAGACGGUGAUAGUCCAGUAUGUGAAGCGAAAUGCAGCAUAGCGGUAUCCUGAGUAACGCGGGACACGAGGAAUCCUGCGCGAAUCUGCCGGGACCAUCCGGUAAGGCUAAAUACUCCCGUGAGACCGAUAGCGAACGAGUACUGUGAAGGAAAGGUGAAAAGAACCCCGAGCAGGGGAGUGAAAUAGUUCCUGAAACCAUACGCCUACAAGCGGUCGGAGCAUCUUACGAUGUGACGGCGUGCCUUUUGCAUAAUGAUCCUACGAGUUACCGUCACUGGCGAGGUUGAGUGUCAUGAGACACGUAGCCGCAGUGAAAGCGAGCCUGAAUAGGGCGCAUAGUCAGUGGGGGUAGACGCGAAACCAAGUGAUCUACACUUGGCCAGGAUGAAGUCCCGGUAACACGGGAUGGAGGUCCGCACCAAUAAGCGUUGAAAAGCUUCUGGAUGAGCCGAGUGUAGGAGUGAAAGGCCAAUCAAACUUGGAGAUAGCUCGUACUCCCCGAAAGGCAUUUAGGUGCCGCGUCGGAUGGUCACCGUGAGAGGUAGAGCGACCGAUAGGACAAGAGGGCUUCACCGCCUAUCGAGUCCUGACGAACUCCGAAUGCUCACGGUCUGCAGUCCGGCAGUAAGGGGGCGGGUGCUAAGGUCCGUCCCCGAGAGGAGAAGAAUCCAGACCGCCGUCUAAGGUCCCGGAGUUCUGCCUGAGUUAGUCUAACGAAGUCUGGUCCCUAUGACAGCUAGGAUGUUGGCUUGGAAGCAGCCAUUCAUUCAAAGAGUGCGUAACAGCUCACUAGUCGAGGGUCCGGGCAUGGAUAAUAAUCGGGUAUAAGGCAGACACCGAAGGCGCGGGAUAGCAUUUAAGAAAGUAUCGGUAGGGGAGCAUACUCACAGCGUCGAAUGGUGUACGUAAGUUAUCCUGGAGCGGUGAGUAAAGCAAAUGUAGGAAUAAGUAACGAUAAGGAGGGUUAGAUUCCCUCCCGCUGUAAGACCAAGGUUUCCCGGGCAAUGCCAAUCAGCCCGGGGUCAGUCGGGUCCUAAGUCUAAGCCGAACGGCGAUGGCGAUGGCAGAGACGGUUAAUAUUCCGUCACUGCCGCAUGGGGCGACGUGGAGACGGAGCAGUGAAACCACCGCGGGGCGACGGAAGUCCCCGUUGAAGAGUGUAGGUGUUGAGGAUGGCAGGCAAAUCCACCGUCCGAGCUGAACUUGAUAGUAUGGAGUCUUCUUCGGAAGAAUCCAAUAGUGUGGGUAAUCAUACUCCCGAGAAAAUCCGCUAAGCUUAACCCAUGCGGCACCCGUACCGCAAACGGACACACGUGGUCGGGUAGAACAUACUAAGGCGUUGAGAGAUUCAUGGUUAAGGAACUAGGCAAAUUGACCCUGUAACUUCGGGAUAAAGGGUCCUCGUGAUGAGCGAGGCGCAGAGAAUAGGUCCAGGCAACUGUUUAACAAAAACACAGGGCUGUGCAAACUCGAAAGAUGACGUAUACAGCCUGACACCUGCCCGGUGCCGGAAGGUUAAGAGGAGAUGUCACUAGCAAUAGGAAGCAUUGAAUUGAAGCCCCGGUAAACGGCGGCCGUAACUAUAACGGUCCUAAGGUAGCGAAAUUCCUUGUCGGGU